CUGAUUGAUUGGAUGUUCUGGUCCUGAGGCUUCAGUGUGUUAGUAGAACAGGUUAGUGAACUCAGGACCAGCUGGAUGAGGGGACUGAGGCUUCAGUGUGUUAGUAGAACAGGUUAGUGAACUCAGCCCCAGGACCAGCUGGAUGAGGGGACUGAGGCUUCAGUGUGUUAGUAGAACAGGUUAGUGAACUCAGCCCCAGGACCAGCUGGAUGAGGGGACUGAGGCUUCAGUGUGUUAGUAGAACAGGUUAGUGAACUCAGGACCAGCUGGAUGAGGGGACUGAGGCUUCAGUGUGUUAGUAGAACAGGUUAGUGAACUCAGCCCCAGGACCAGCUGGAUGAGGGGACUGAGGCUUCAGUGUGUUAGUAGAACAGGUUAGUGAACUCAGCCCCAGGACCAGCUGGAUGAGGGGACUGAGGCUUCAGUGUGGUAGUAGAACAGGUUAGUGAACUCAGGACCAGCUGGAUGAGGGGACUGAGGCUUCAGUGUGUUAGUAGAACAGGUUAGUGAACUCAGCCUCGGGACCAGCUGGAUGAGGGGACUGAGGCUUCAGUGUGUUAGUAGAACAGGUUAGUGAACUCAGCCUCGGGACCAGCUGGAUGAGGGGACUGAGGCUUCAGUGUGUUAGUAGAACAGGUUAGUGAACUCAGGACCAGCUGGAUGAGGGGACUGAGGCUUCAGUGUGUUAGUAGAACAGGUUAGUGAACUCAGGACCAGCUGGAUGAGGGGACUGAGGCUUCAGUGUGUUAGUAGAACAGGUUAGUGAACUCAGGACCAGCUGGAUGAGGGGACUGAGGCUUCAGUGUGUUAGUAGAACAGGUUAGUGAACUCAGGACCAGCUGGAUGAGGGGACUGAGGCUUCAGUGUGUUAGUAGAACAGGUUAGUGAACUCAGGACCAGCUGGAUGAGGGGACUGAGGCUUCAGUGUGUUAGUAGAACAGGUUAGUGAACUCAGGACCAGCUGGAUGAGGGGACUGAGGCUUCAGUGUGU